rnacentral:lncRNA from 1 species
AGCAAGCUAGUAGGAGUUAUAAGCAUCUUAUGAGAAAAGGAUCAAAUCGUUUGAUUUCUCAUAAAGAUGUAAAAUGAAUCUUUUUUUUGUUUACUAGGUUUACAAAAGAUUAGUGGGAGUUAAUAAUGUUCCUAAAAUUUAAAAUAUAUAUAUGAUAUAUUAAUUUUGGAAAUGAAUUCUUCGUUAAAGUUAUGACUUUAAGCAUUCUAUAACGAUAGAAUGUAUAUGGGAGACAUAAUCUAUAUACAUGGGAUGGAAAUCUGUAUUGAUAGAUUUCAAGAUAUAAUUUGAUUAUAUCAAUCCCUAAUAAUAGACAAAAUAUUCUAGGAAGUUUAUCAUAUGAUGAUAAACUUCAAUUAGAAGGAUGACUCUAGUGUGACUAGCAAGUUGCCCUUCUUAAAGGGAACGUGCCCUUUUGACUCCCAAAGAAAUAAUGCGUAAAUAGAAUCCUUUAUGCAUACGCACAAAGGUGAUUUAUGUAUUUCAUAUUGUAUGAAAAACAUUGAUAUAAGUUGUACCUAGAAAGGUACAAGACGAUAUCAGUGCCAGCCCAGGAUUAGAACCAUGGCAACUGUCAAGUGAGUCCUUAAGUAUUUAAGAAAUACUAAAGGAUAAAUUCCUCAAAGAUUGAGGAAGAAUUAGAGUAACGUAAUGGAAGCGUAAAUGUAUUAGAUUAUGAAUCUAAUCCAUCAUUGGAUGUUUCUUCAUUAUGAAUGAAGAGAUAAUCAAAUAUCUCUUUAUUAUGACUAAAGAGAUAUUUGGAUGGAAAUAUUAAAGUAAUGACUUUAGUAUGUUCCAUUAUGAAUGCAAAAUAUAUUGCCAUAUAGAAGUUUACAAAAAUGUUGUUUGGAUGGGAAAGUUCAUUUAUGAACUCUCUAUUCGGUUCCAACCAGAAAGUGUUUGACACUAAUGGGGCGAUAGCUCAAGCCAGGGAAUCAAGGUCUCAUCAAGAUCCGAACUCAAAUGAGAGACUGAACGACAUGAUUGAGAAUCAUGUAUAAUGGUGACGUCGUUAUUCUCAAGGUUGCUUCUAUGGAUAACAUAUAGAUAUCCAUUGUCUAGGCCUACUAUUCAGCCAUUUAUGAAAUGACUACAUAAAAGGUAUCAUCACUGACGACCAAGCUGAUUGGCUCUAGUGCAAGUGGGAGAUUGUUAGAAAUGUGCCCUAAACAAAUCAUAUGAUGAUACUUUACGGACAUUUCACAUGUUAAACUAAUCUAGUUUAACUAUAAAGGGCAAAGAUUAUUGUUUGAGCCGUCUCAUAUAAAUGUUAUAUGCUUAAACGAUAAAGUCCAAGGAAUAUGUGAUUGGGAGAAUAUGAUCUAAAGAAGUUAGAUUCAUGAGACCAUUCUUUCGUAGACACAUCCUAAAUGUUCCUGAUCAUAGGAUUGCCAAUUGGGCAUUGACAGUCCAUUAAGAUCAGUACGUACUGUGUCUUCUCUCAGGGAGAGUGACUAGUCUCGAGUCAUUGGUGUGUGUGACAUCAAGACAAGUACGUAGAUGCUCAAUAGAGAAUGAGUUCACUGAACACGAUCAACAAAGAGUUCUCAUAUUCAUGUCACAUGAGAACUCAUGGUUGGGAUAAUGCAAAGUAGUCCUUUACCUGAGGCAUCGUCGUUGUCUUGUGGUUAAGUCUUUGAUCUUUGAUUAUGUCAAACGUCAUUCCAUUGGAGUGUCCACGGCAUCGUUGGGGUUAAGCCACUUAGCCAUG